rnacentral:rRNA from 1 species
UACGAAGGGGGCUAGCGUUGCUAGGAAUCACUGGGCGUAAAGGGUGCGUAGGCGGGGCUUUAAGUCAGGGGUGAAAUCCUGGAGCUCAACUCCAGAACUGCCUUUGAUACUGAAGAUCUUGAGUUCGGGAGAGGUGAGUGGAACUGCGAGUGUAGAGGUGAAAUUCGUAGAUAUUCGCAAGAACACCAGUGGCGAAGGCGGCUCACUGGCCCGAUACUGACGCUGAGGCACGAAAGCGUGGGGAGCAAACAGG